rnacentral:rRNA from 1 species
UACGUAGGUGGCAAGCGUUAUCCGGAAUUAUUGGGCGUAAAGCGCGCGCAGGCGGUUUCUUAAGUCUGAUGUGAAAGCCCACGGCUCAACCGUGGAGGGUCAUUGGAAACUGGGGAACUUGAGUGCAGAAGAGAAAAGCGGAAUUCCACGUGUAGCGGUGAAAUGCGUAGAGAUGUGGAGGAACACCAGUGGCGAAGGCGGCUUUUUGGUCUGUAACUGACGCUGAGGCGCGAAAGCGUGGGGAGUAAACAGG